GGAUUCCCCUAGUAACGGCGAGUGAAGCGGGAAAAGCUCAAAAUGUGAAUCUGCGUAACCCGCCUUAACCGGCGGGCGCGCCGAAUUGUGGUCUAUAGAGGUGUCGUCGGCCGCGGUCUCGGGCCAAGUCCCUUGGAAAAGGGCAGCUGAGAGGGUGAGACUCCCGUUCUUGCCUGAGAUCCGCGCGCCUUGGCAGGCAUUCUCGAAGAGUCGAGUAUUUUGGGAUUGAUGCUCAAAGUGGGAGGUAAAUUCCUUCUAAAGCUAAAUAUAGGUGGGAGACCGAUAGCGCACAAGUACCGUGAGGGAAAGAUGCAAAGAACUUUGAAAAGAGAGUUAAAGAGUACCUGAAAUUGCUGAAAUGGAAGCGAAGGAAACCAGUGCCACAGGCAGGUCAUAUUUCCUCCGCCGCUUGCGGUGGGGGCGCUGUGUCUUGUCGCCGGCCAGCAUGGGUUCUCUUCGGGGCAAGUGGCCGUUCGGGAGGUAGCCCCCUCGUGGGGUGUUCUAACCGGGCGGUUCUGUCCUGGGGGGGAUCGAGGAUAGUCGCGCAAGCGCUCGUGAUGCUGGCAAAAUGGUUUUCUUUACCCCGUCUUGAAACACGGACCAAGGAGUUUAACAUGUAUGCGAGUAAAAGGGUGGCAAACCCCAAUGCGAAAUGAAAGUAUCAGAGACGCUAACCUUCGGGUGCACCGUCCGCCGGCCACAACCCUUCGGGGGAAAGGUCUGAGUGUGAGCAUACAUGUUGAGACCCGAAAGAUGGUGAGCUAUGCCUGAGUAGGGUGAAGCCAGGGGAAACUCUGGUGGAAGCUCGUAGCGAUUCUGACGUGCAAAUCGAUCGUCAAACUUGGGUAUAGGGGCGAAAGA
rnacentral:rRNA from 1 species